CACACACCGCCCGUCAAGCGAUGGAAGCCGGAGGUACCCGAAGCCGGUGCUUCAACCCGCAAGGGGAUAGCCGUCGAAGGUAAAUCUGGUGACUGGCGCU
rnacentral:rRNA from 1 species